UACCAGCACCCCGAGUGGUCGGGACGAUUAUUGGGCCUAAAGCAUCCGUAGCCGGUCAUGCAAGUCUUCCGUUAAAUCCAGCCGCUCAACGGUUGGGCUGCGGAGGAUACUACGUGGCUAGGAGGCGGGAGAGGCAAGCGGUACUCAGUGGGUAGGGGUAAAAUCCUUUGAUCCAUUGAAGACCACCAGUGGCGAAGGCGGCUUGCCAGAACGCGCUCGACGGUGAGGGAUGAAAGCUGGGGGAGCAAAC
rnacentral:rRNA from 1 species